UACGGGGGGGGCAAGCGUUGUUCGGAAUUACUGGGCGUAAGGGGCUCGUAGGCGGCCAACUAAGUCAGACGUGAAAUCCCUCGGCUUAACCGGGGAACUGCAUCUGAUACUGGAUGGCUUGAGUUCGGGAGGGGGAUGUGGAAUUCCAGGUGUAGCGGUGAAAUGCGUAGAUAUCUGGAGGAACACCGGUGGCGAAGGCGGCAUCCUGGACCGACACUGACGCUGAGGAGCGAAAGCCAGGGGAGCAAACGGG
rnacentral:rRNA from 1 species